rnacentral:rRNA from 1 species
AAAGCGAAUGGUUAAAUCUGAUGGCUCAACCAUCAAACUAUUAUUCGAACUCGUCUGCUCGAGAGUGAGAGAGGUACCUGGAAUUUCUAGUGUAGGAGUGAAAUCCGUAGAUAUUAGAAGGAACACCAAUGGCGUAAGCAGGGUACUGGCUCAUUUCUGACGCUAAGGCACGAAAGCGUGGGGAGCGAACCGGAUUAGAUACCCGGGUAGUCCACGCCGUAAACUAUGGAUACUA